AUUAACCGCCCCACCUCCCGGCUUCGUUAGCCGACCACCACCGCCCUACCACCAUUACUCAUCCCACCUACCUUCAUCGCCGGCAAGAACCCGACCCAAAUCCCCCACUCAACCUCCCCUGCUUCCCAGUUUUCGCACCCCACCCCUGCCUUGCUCUCCUCUGCACUCAUCCUCCGGCACCGCCGUGCCACCACACUCCACAUCCCCUCUUGUUUGCGCAGCCACCGCAUCCCAUGAACCACCCAGCCCACAAAUCCCCUGUCUCCCCUCUUCUUUACGCACAACCUCCCUCUCUCCCGUCAUCCUGCCGCCGCGAAAUAACCACCACCACCGUCGCCUUAGACGGCGCAAUCCGGCAGCACCAAACCGCCCAAUCGCCUUCUUCCUUCCUCUCCUCCUCCCUUUCGUGUUCUCCUUUCUCGGCCCCCUCCCCUGUUUUCUCCCCUGUUCGUGUCUUCCCUCCUCCCCUCGUGCUCUUCCGCCGCAAAUCACCUUCCACCGUCGCCUCUGGCGCGGGUUGGCGUGGCUGCGCCGCCCAGCUCAGCCGCCCUCCCUCCUCUCCUCUCCUCUCUUUCGUGCUUCUCUGCUUGCAUCCCCUUUGCUCGUGCUUUCCUUUCCAGAAAACCAAAACCAAUAUUUGGUCCUUGGUUUUUAUUCUCCUUAAAACCCACAAGUUAAUUGGGCCACUCUAGUUUGGGCUUUUGAAAUUGGACUCGGGGCUCAGGAAGGACGAUCCAUCAGACAGGAAGUAUAAAAACUACGGUUGAGGUACUGCGGGAAUCGAUGGAAACGCGUAGAGGCGAGGAAUUUCACUUUUAUAUUUUUCACCUAGUUUAUGCUUGAUGUUUAUAAUAGUUUAAUUUAAAGACUUUUAGUAAUUUAUGUACUUGUAUUUUGGGAAUAUAAAUGAUUAUUAUAUUAAUUUGGAGGUUUUUAUGGCUUAUGUAUGAUGUUGCCUUGUAAUUUCCAAGAGGGAAUUACGGCAGGUAAUGUCCCGACCAAAUUAGGUUAAUUCCGCUGCUAAUUAUGCUUUAAUAAGUGAUUUAGAGGUCGGGGCGUUACAGUUUGGUAUUCAGAGCAA